AAGUCGUAACAAGGUUUCCGUAGGUGAACCUGCGGAAGGAUCAUUAUCGAGUUUUGAAACGGGUUGUAGCUGGCCUUUCUAACUAGGAAGGCAUGUGCACGCCUGGCUCAUUCCACUCUUCAACCUCUGUGCACUUAUUGUAGGUCGGUGGAAAGCUUGGAGCUUUUUUUAAUUAAAAAAAGGCUGCAGGUUGGAAGCCUUCCUAUGUUUUACUACAAACGCUUCAGUUAUAGAAUGUUUAUCUUGCGUAUAACGCAUUUAUAUACAACUUUCAGCAACGGAUCUCUUGGCUCUC
rnacentral:misc_RNA from 1 species